GACGAACGCUGGCGGCGUGCCUAACACAUGCAAGUCGAACGGGGUAAUUUCCUUCGGGAGAUUACUUAGUGGCGAACGGGUGAGUAACGCGUGAGAAACCUGCCUCUCAGUGGGGGACAACGGUUGGAAACGACUGCUAAUACCGCAUAAUGUUAUUGAGUGGCAUCACUUAAUAACCAAAGAUUUAUUGCUGAAAGAUGGCCUCGCGUCUGAUUAGCUAGUUGGUAGGGUAACGGCCUACCAAGGCGACGAUCAGUAGCCGGCCUGAGAGGGUGAACGGCCACAUUGGGACUGAGACACGGCCCAAACUCCUACGGGAGGCAGCAGUGGGGAAUAUUGCACAAUGGGGGAAACCCUGAUGCAGCGACGUCCGCGUGAGCGAUGAAGUAUUUCGGUAUGUAAAGCUCUAUCAGCAGGAAGAAAUGACGGUACCUGACUAAGAAGCACCGGCUAAAUACGUG
rnacentral:rRNA from 1 species